rnacentral:rRNA from 1 species
AAUUGAACGCUGGCGGCAUGCCUUACACAUGCAAGUCGAACGGCAGCACGGGGGCAACCCUGGUGGCGAGUGGCGAACGGGUGAGUAAUACAUCGGAACGUGUCCUGGAGUGGGGGAUAGCCCGGCGAAAGCCGGAUUAAUACCGCAUACGCUCUGUGGAGGAAAGCGGGGGAUCUUUCGGGACCUCGCGCUCAAGGGGCGGCCGAUGGCAGAUUANGUAGUUGGUGGGGUAAAGGCCUACCAAGCCGACGAUCUGUAGCUGGUCUGAGAGGACGACCAGCCACACUGGGACUGAGACACGGCCCAGACUCCUACGGGAGGCAGCANUGGGGAAUUUUGGACAAUGGGCGCAAGCCUGAUCCAGCAAUGCCGCGUGUGUGAAGAAGGCCUUCGGGUUGU